AACGCGAAGAACCUUACCUGGGCUUGACAUGUUGGUGACCGCCGUGGAAACACGGUUUUCCUUCGGGACACCAUCACAGGUGGUGCAUGGCUGUCGUCAGCUCGUGUCGUGAGAUGUUGGGUUAAGUCCCGCAACGAGCGCAACCCCCGUCCUAUGUUGCCAUCAUUCAGUUGGGGACUCAUAGGAGACUGCCGGUGACAAACCGGAGGAAGGUGGGGAUGACGUCAAGUCAUCAUGCCCCUUAUGUCCAGGGCUACACACGUGCUACAUUGGCGCAUACAAAGGGCAGCAAUACCGCGAGGUGGAGCAAAUCCCAGAAAGUGCGCCUCGGUUCGGAUUGGAGGCUGAAACUCGCCUCCAUGAAGGUGGAGUUGCUAGUAAUCGCGGAUCAGCAAUGCCGCGGUGAAUACGUUCCCGGGCCUUGUACACACCGCUAGUC
rnacentral:rRNA from 1 species